CAGGGAUUGCCCUAGUAACGGCGAGUGAACAGGCAAGAGCUCAGAUUUGAAAGGCACUUUUGUGCCGUUGUAUUCUGAAGUUAGGGUCCUGAGAAACGAUGCUUAAGUCUUCUGGAAAGGAGCGCCAUGGAGGGUGAUAGCCCCGUCUAGCAUUGACCUCAUAUAGGAUCUUAACAUGGAGUCGAGUUGUUUGGGAAUGCAGCUCAAAUGGGUGGUAUGCUCCAUCUAAAGCUAAAUAUCUGCGAGAGACCGAUAGUAAACAAGUACUGUGAGGGAAAGAUGAAAAGAACUUUGAAAAGAGAGUGAAAAAGUACGUGAAAUUGUUGAAAUGGAAGGGUAGGCCGCUAACCAUGUAGAGCCGUGUUUGGGGGGAAGAUAAAUGCUGUAGAAUGUAGCUCCUCGGAGUAUUAUAGAUGCAGUUCAUAUUCCCACCCGAGCGCGAGGAUCUCAGGUUCUACUAAAUGGUGGUCUACCACCCGUCUUGAGCCCNCGGACCA
rnacentral:rRNA from 1 species